rnacentral:rRNA from 1 species
GUAACGGCUUACCAAGGCGACGAUCAGUAGCCGACCUGAGAGGGUGAUCGGCCACAUUGGAACUGAGACACGGUCCAAACUCCUACGGGAGGCAGCAGGGGGGAAUAUUGCACAAUGGGCGAAAGCCUGAUGCAGCAACGCCGCGUGAGUGAUGAAGGCCUUCGGGGCGUAAAACUCUGUCCUCAAGGAAGAUAAUGACGGUACUUGAGGAGGAAGCCCCGGCUAACUACGUGCCAGCAGCCGCGG